rnacentral:rRNA from 1 species
CUACGUGCCAGCAGCCGCGGUAAUACGUAGGGUGCGAGCGUUAGUCGGAAUUACUGGGCGUAAAGCGAGCGCAGACGGUUACUUAAGCAGGAUGUGAAAUCCCCGGGCUCAACCUGGGAACUGCGUUCUGAACUGGGUGACUAGAGUGUGUUAGAGGGAGGUAGAAUUCCACGUGUAGCAGUGAAAUGCGUAGAGAUGUGGAGGAAUACCGAUGGCGAAGGCAGCCUCCUGGGAUAACACUGACGUUCAUGCUCGAAAGCGUGGGUAGCAAACAGGAUUAGAUACCCUGGUAGUCCACGCCCUAAACGAUGUCAAUUAGCUGUUGGGCAACUUGAUUGCUUAGUAGCGUAGCUAACGCGUGAAAUUGACCGCCUGGGGAGUACGGUCGCAAGAUUAAAACUCAAAGGAAUUGACGGGGACCCGCACAAGCGGUGGAUGAUGUGGAUUAAUUCGAUGCAACGCGAAGAACCUUACCUGGUCUUGACAU